CAGCCGCCGCGGUAAUACGUAGGUGGCAAGCGUUGUCCGGAAUUAUUGGGCGUAAAGGGCUCGCAGGCGGUUUCUUAAGUCUGAUGUGAAAGCCCCCGGCUCAACCGGGGAGGGUCAUUGGAAACUGGGAAACUUGAGUGCAGAAGAGGAGAGUGGAAUUCCACGUGUAGCGGUGAAAUGCGUAGAGAUGUGGAGGAACACCUGUGGCGAAGGCGACUCUCUGGUCUGUAACUGACGCUGAGGAGCGAAAGCGUGGGGAGCGAACAGGAUUAGAUACCCCAGUAGUCCCUGUCUCUUAUAC
rnacentral:rRNA from 1 species